rnacentral:rRNA from 1 species
AUUGAACGCUGGCGGCAUGCCUUACACAUGCAAGUCGAACGGUAACAGGUCUUCGGAUGCUGACGAGUGGCGAACGGGUGAGUAAUACAUCGGAACGUGCCCGAGAGUGGGGGAUAACGAGGCGAAAGCUUUGCUAAUACCGCAUACGAUCUCAGGAUGAAAGCAGGGGACCGCAAGGCCUUGCGCUCACGGAGCGGCCGAUGGCAGGAAUUAGGUAGUUGGUGGGGUAAAGGCCCACCAAGCCAACGAUCUGUAGCUGGUCUGAGAGGACGACCAGCCACACUGGGAAUGAAACACGGCCCAGACUCCUACGGGAGGCAGCAGUGGGGCAUUUUGGACAAUGGGCGCAAGCCUGAUCCAGCAAUGCGGCGUGCAGGAAGAAGGCCUUCGGGUUGUAAACUGCUUUUGUACGGAACGAAACGGUCCUGGUUAAUACCUGGGGCUAAUGACGGUACCGUAAGAAUAAGCACCGGCUAACUACGUGCCAGCCGCCGCCGUAAGAC